ACCAGGCUGGAGCAAUUCUCUGAUCUUUUUUUUCCGAAAAAGGUCUUGAGUCAUCAGACAUAAUCAUCGGUCAUAUAAUUGAAAUGGAGGUAUGAUCUAUACAAAAAGAUGGAUAUAAAUUAUUACAGUUAUAGGGAUGAUGAGGAGGAAAAGAAAUGAAGCAGGUAAAGAAGAGACAAAGUCAUGAUUUACUACAAAUUGAGUAACUUGAGAUGAUGAGCUACAUAAGGAUAUUAAUUUUUGUUCAGCUUGAUCUUCUAUUGUAAUAGCCUCACUUUAUAUAGAGGAUUUGGGCUCAGCUUAACUUUUAACUAAUAUAUUGCCUUUAUGUAUAUUUUUAAAUAAUUCAAUUGAAUAUGUAACAUUAUAAAGGAA